rnacentral:rRNA from 1 species
AUGUUUAACCGUAAAAUAUAAACUCACAUUAAAAUCGCCAGGGAAUUACGAGCCCAAGCUUAAAACCCAAAGGACUUGACGGUGUCCCACCCACCUAGAGGAGCCUGUUCUAUAAUCGAUUCUCCCCGAUAAACCUCACCACUUCUAGCUUCUCAGCCUGUAUACCUCCGUCGUAAGCUUACCAUGUGAACGAACCAAGUGAGCCUAAAGGUCCUUCCACCAACACGUCAGGUCAAGGUGCAGCUUAUGAACUGGGAAGAAAUGGGCUACAAUUUCUACCAUAGAACAAACGAAAGGCUACAUGAAAUACAGCCAUGAAGGCGGAUUUAGUAGUAAAAAGAGAAUAGAGAGCUCUUUUUAAUAAGGCGCUGGGACGCGUACACA